AAACAACUUGAAGGAGCCACUGAGAGUUCUUGGCAUUAUUGAGACGUUUGCUCUGUCAAAGGCAAAUUUUGCAAAAAUAACAAGGUCAGAAAACCUUCAUGUUUCUUACAUCUUCCAUAAAGGAAAAACUGAAGUCAAUAAAAAUGGAACCAAAGCUUCAGCAACAAUUGUAAUUCUAAUCACAUGGUUAUCACCUCCUUGCUUUAUACUAGUCAGACAUUUUCUAUUUUUCAUGCAAUGUAAUCCGAAAGUGCUGUCUUACUGAUGGGGCAGACAAACCC
rnacentral:lncRNA from 1 species